AGUGAACGCUGGCGGUAGGCCUAACACAUGCAAGUCGAACGGCAGCACAGUAAGAGCUUGCUCUUACGGGUGGCGAGUGGCGGACGGGCGAGGAAUACAUCGGAAUCUACUUUUUCGUGGGGGAUAACGUAGGGAAACUUACGCUAAUACCGCAUACGACCUACGGGUGAAAGCAGGGGAUCUUCGGACCUUGCGCGAUUGAAUGAGCCGAUGUCGGAUUAGCUAGUUGGCGGGGUAAAGGCCCACCAAGGCGACGAUCCGUAGCUGGUCUGAGAGGAUGAUCAGCCACACUGGAACUGAGACACGGUCCAGACUCCUACGGGAGGCAGCAGUGGGGAAUAUUGGACAAUGGGCGCAAGCCUGAUCCAGCCAUACCGCGUGGGUGAAGAAGGCCUUCGGGUUGUAAAGCCCUUUUGUUGGGAAAGAAAAGCAGCAGGUUAAUACCCCGCCGUUCUGACGGUACCCAAAGAAUAAGCACCGGCUAACUUCGUG
rnacentral:rRNA from 1 species